GGGGCGGUAGCUAAGCGGCGAGCGCAUCUGGCUCUUAACCAGACAUUUCACACCGUGGGUUCGAGUCCCACCCGCCCUACCA
rnacentral:tRNA from 1 species